UACGGGGGGGGCAAGUGUUAUUCGUUCAUACUGGGCGUAAAGCGUCUUUAGGCGGUUUUUUGUGAGUUAGCAACUAAAGUCCAGAGGGUGACCCUGGAAUGUUUGCUAAGACCAUUUUUCUAGAGUUUUAAAGGGGUGAGUGGUAUUUCUUCAGGAGGGUUAAAAUUCUUAGAAAGAAGAAAGAGGUCCACGGGUGAAGACAACUCACUAGUUAAAACUGACGCCAAAGGACUAAAGCAUGGGGAGCGAUCGGG
rnacentral:rRNA from 1 species